CGGGUGUGGUGUCCUGUGGUGUACAGAUCAGCCAUGGAGAGUAGAGCAGGCUGUGGUGUACAGAUCAGCCAUGGAGAGUAGAGCAGGCUGUGGUGUACAGUAGCAUACCUGUGUUCAAAUACUAUUCGGUAUCUUUCAAAAUACUCUUAGUAUUGGCUUUAGCAUGCAUGGGGCGGUAGAAUGGGCAGGAUUUGCACAUUUGAGAUUAUUCUAUUGGUUCCAUUGUUCCAGGCUUUUAUUAGUUGAACUCAGGCUGUCUGGUUGUAGGGUUAUGGGCUGUAGGGUUAUGGGCUGUAGGGUUAUGGGCUGUAGGCUGUCUGGCUGUAGGGUUAUGGGCUGUAGGCUAUCUGGCUGUAGGGUUAUGGGCCGUGACAUUGUCUGGCUGUAGGGUUAUGG
rnacentral:lncRNA from 1 species